UCUAAUUAUCCGAUGUGAAAUCAUGACGAGAGAUGAGGAGUUUUGUUUUGAAACAACAUUUUGAACUGAGCCAUGCUGGUUGUGAAAAAGCGGACUUUUCAGAAGGAAA